UCGUGGGGCGACUUGUCUGGUUAAUUCCGAUAACGAGCGAGACCUCAAUCUGCUAAAUAGUCACGUUAACUUUGGUUGACGGCAGUACUUCUUAGAGAGACUACAAUGGUUUACAUUGUGGAAGUGAGGCAAUAACA
rnacentral:rRNA from 1 species